rnacentral:rRNA from 1 species
AUUGAACGCUGGCGGCAGGCCUAACACAUGCAAGUCGAACGGCAGCGGGGGGUAGCUUGCUACCCCGCCGGCGAGUGGCGGACGGGUGAGUAAUGCCUGGGGAGCUGCCCAAUCGAGGGGGAUACCAGUUGGAAACGACUGCUAAUACCGCAUACGCCCCGAGGGGGAAAGGUGGGGAUCUUCGGGCCUACCGCGAUUGGAUGCACCCAGGUGGGAUUAGCUAGUUGGUGGGGUAACGGCUCACCAAGGCGACGAUCUCUAGCUGGUCUGAGGGGAUGACCAGCCACACUGGAACUGAGACACGGUCCAGACUCCGACGGGAGGCAGCAGUGGGGAAUAUUGCACAAUGGGGGAAACCCUGAUGCAGCCAUGCCGCGUGUGUGAAGAAGGCCUUAGGGUUGUAAAGCACUUUCAGUGGGGAGGAAAGGGUGGAAGCUAAUACCUUUCAUCUGUGACGUUACCCACAGAAGAAGCACCGGCUAACUCCGUGCCAGCCGCCGCGGUAAUAC